CCAUUUAUCUCAAUCAUUUAAGCAAAAGUUUUUCUUCCAAUUAUCUCCAUCAUCUUGAGGUGAUCAGUUAUAAUUAUGGCCAUUCCUUGGAUGUAUGCACACGUCUCCAUGCAGGACUUGGGCCAUCUUGGUUGUUCAUUGGUUGCAUGCAGGCAUGCACAUUAAUUAGAUUAAUUGGACCACAAUGAUUUACUGAAAAGACGUGAGUCUUUCAUGCUCCUUGGUCUCUGUGCACAAGGCUUAAACGAAGAAGACUAAUGGACGGA
rnacentral:lncRNA from 1 species